UCCGGCUUAUCACCGGCGGUUUCUUUAGAGUGCCCAACUAAAUGAUGGCAACUAAAGACGAGGGUUGCGCUCGUUGCGGGACUUAACCCAACAUCUCACGACACGAGCUGACGACAGCCAUGCAGCACCUGUCACUCAUCCAGCCGAACUGAAGGAACCCCGGGCUCGCGCCCGGCUUUUGCCGCCAUGUCAAGGGCUGGUAAGGUUCUGCGCGUUGCGUCGAAUUAAACCACAUGCUCCACCGCUUGUGCGGGCCCCCGUCAAUUCCUUUGAGUUUCAGUCUUGCGACCGUACUCCCCAGGCGGGGUGCUUAAUGCGUUAGCUUCGGCACGGAUGGAGUCGACACCACCCACACCUAGCACCCAUCGUUUACGGCGUGGACUAC
rnacentral:misc_RNA from 1 species